rnacentral:rRNA from 1 species
UGAAUACGAGACGCUAAGGCGUCGAAGUAGUGUAUGUCAUACUUCCAAGAAAAGCUUGCACUGUCAUAGAUAAAAAACGCCUGUACCAUAACCGACACAGGUGGGUAGGUAGAGUAUACUAAGGGGCGCGAGAUAACUCUCUCUAAGGAACUCGGCAAAAUAACUCCGUAACUUCGGGAGAAGGAGUGCCUUAUUCGUAAGGUUGCAAUAACAAGAUCCAAGCAACUGUUUAUCAAAAACACAGGUCUCCGCUAAGUCGUAAGACGAUGUAUGGGGGCUGACGCCUGCCCAGUGCCAGAAGGUUAAAGAAGUUGGUUAGCAAUUGCGAAGCUGAUAACUGAAGCCCUGGUGAACGGCGGCCGUAACGAUAACGGUCCUAAGGUAGCGAAAUUCCUUGUCGGGUAAGUUCCGACCCGCACGAAAGGCGUAAUGAUUUGGAUACUGUCUCGGAGAGGGGCUCGGUGAAAUAGACUUGUCUGUGAAGAUGCGGACUACCUGCACCAGGACAGAAAGACCCUAUGAAGCUUUACUGUAACUUGAAAUUGAAAUUGGACUUUAUUCGCGCAGUAUAGGUGGGAGGCGUUGAUUAUAAUCUUGUGGGAUUAUUGGAGCCAUCAGUGAGAUACCACUCUUGUAAUGUUAGAUUUCUAACUUUGAAUCAUUAUCUGGUCAAAGAACAGUUUCAGGCGGGCAGUUUGACUGGGGCGGUCGCCUCCUAAACGGUAACGGAGGCGUACAAAGGUUUCCUCUGAACGGUUAGAAAUCGUAUCUAGAGUGUAAAGGCAUAAGGAAGCUUGACUGUGAGACCUACAAGUCGAGCAGGGACGAAAGUCGGUCUUAGUGAUCUGACGGUACUGAGUGGAAAGGCCGUCACUCAACGGAUAAAAGUUACUCUAGGAUAACAGGCUGAUCUCCCCCAAGAGUUCACAUCGACGGGGAGGUUAGGCACCUGGAUGUCGGCUCAUCGCAUCCUGGGGCGGUAGUACGUCCCAAGGGUUGGGCUGUUCGCCCAUGAAAGCGGUACGCGAGCUGGGUUCAGAACGUCGUGAGACAGUUCGGUCCAUAUCCGGUGUAGGCGUUAGAAUAUUGAGAGGAGCCUUCUUUAGUACGAGAGGACCGAGAAGGACAUACCUCUGGUGUACCAGUUAUCGUGCCAACGGUAAACGCUGGGUAGCUAUGUAUGGAGUGGAUAACCGCUGAAAGCAUCUAAGUGGGAAGCCCACCUCAAGAUAAGUAUUCUC